rnacentral:piRNA from 1 species
UCACCCCCAGGUCCUGCUCAAAGCUGUGC